AGCAGCCGCGGUAAUUCCAGCUCCAAUAGUGUAUAUUAAAGUUGCUGUGAUUAAAACGCUCGUAGUUGAAUUAUAAGACACUAGAAUGGGCAGAAGCUUUUCGAAGUGGAGCUCUAUUCGCUAAAGUGUUUAGGUGAUACUUACUUCGGUUAGUGUCAUUACUUUGAAAAAAAUAGGGUGUUUAAAGCAAAUCUUAUGUUAAUGAAUAAUGAAGCAUGGGACAAUAUUGAAGGAGAUCCUUUAUGGAUUUCGAGGAUAAGGAUUAAGAGGAACAAUUGGGGUGAUUCAGAAAAUAACGGGAGAGGUAAAAUUCCAUGAUCGCUAUAAGAUGCACGAGAGCGAAAGCAUUUCACUCAAUUGCGUUCAUUAAUCAAGAACGAAAGUUAC
rnacentral:rRNA from 1 species